rnacentral:rRNA from 1 species
GAUGAACGCUAGCUACAGGCUUAACACAUGCAAGUCGAGGGGAAACGAUAUUGGAAGCUUGCUUCCGAUAGGCGUCGACCGGCGCACGGGUGAGUAACGCGUAUCCAACCUGCCCAUCACUUGGGGAUAACCUUGCGAAAGUAAGACUAAUACCCAAUGACGUCUCUAGAAGACAUCUGAAGGAGAUUAAAAGAUUUUAUCGGUGAUGGAUGGGGAUGCGUCUGAUUAGCUUGUUGGCGGGGUAACGGCCCACCAAGGCGACGAUCAGUAGGGGUUCUGAGAGGAAGGUCCCCCACAUUGGAACUGAGACACGGUCCAAAACUCCUACGGGAGGCAGCAGUGAGGAAUAUUGGUCAAUGGACGAGAGUCUGAACCAGCCAAGUAGCGUGCAGGAUGACGGCCCUAUGGGUUGUAAACUGCUUUUAUAAGGGACAAGGGGCCAAGGGGUUAUAAUACAGCCUUUGUUUGACGGUACCUAACGAGGAAGCCACGGCUAACUACGUGCCAGCAGCCG